UAUCCCCGCAGGCCGGCUGUACCCGGUUUAGAGGAAAACCGGAUGUGACGUGAGCCAGUGCCGUACUCCCUGCCCCCAGAUAGGUACUUGUACGCCUAGGGAAAGACGCUGCUAGGUGCUGCUGCUAAAUCCCUGUGGUUUCUGCCGGCUCACGUAGGUUCGUUCGCGUGGUCUUGUUACGCCUCGCUGGAUCGUGUUCAGUCAUGCCGUCCUUGCGCGGCGUCAUUGUCGGCGAGUCAGGUUAAAUUCUUUAAUAGGUCGCGCCUGCGCCUAAUUGAGUCUAUUAAAAACUGCACAUUCAGUUUUGCUGGCUACAAUUCAGUGUGGCUGGUGUGGGCUGUCUCCACGAUGCGCUUCGAGCGUGUCGAUUUCGCCGUUCUUUAUGUUGGCGGAAAUGACCGUAAAAGCAACAUGGAUCUACAAGAAAUAUGCAGCAACAUCAAGGCCUUGAUUGUUCAGCGAGACGGCGCCCGUCGUGCUGGUUUUCAAGGUGCUCUCUCGCUGGCUAGAAGAUGCUGAUGCGGAACAGAAAAUGCAAAAACGUCGCUUGUUCAACCGCAAAUUGACGGCUACGCUGAAGCGCAUGCCAUGUCUGCGGAAUUUGAACCCCGAGGCACGUUCACACUGAAGACGGAGCGGCUAAACCGGGCAAAGCUCUUGGCCAGGCGGAUAAAAGCAGGCGCUAAACGAGGCAGCAAGCCCGAUCGCUUGCGGACCACUUUUUUUCCUGCCCGCCAGAGCUGUCCGCUUUGCUGCAGCCAAUUGGAACACCAGACGACGCUGGCGUGUGCGCGACAAGGAUGGACGACCGGUGCCACGAGACGGCGACAAGUGCACCACAAAAACCUAAGAUACUCCGCCUCGGCGGUGCGGGCAGCCAGGCAAGCUGUCCAGUAUACACGGUGUUUCAGCUAACUUGUGCCGAGGCUUUAAAAGAGAAAGACCGAAAGAAACUAGGCCUGCAGUACUCAGAUGCAAUCAAUUCAGUAAACUACCCUUUUGAGCAACUUUAGUACUUACGGCUCAUUGAGAGACAUCUGCUUUAUUUUUUCAAGACAAAAGAAAGUGCACAAAAUCGAAAAAAAGUACCAUGCAACUAUGCACUUUUUAGCAGUGAUGAACAAUGCGGCAUGCAGACAGGAUGUAAAAAAAUAUGCAGUUCCGACACACUGUGAAAAUUAUGUAAGCAGCUUUCUUUGCUGCUAGUGUUCGUUGAUGGCAUUUGGCAGUGAUGUGUUAAAUGUUACCUUGCAUGCACCACUUGUGUUUGUAGUACACAGAGCUCACAGGCAGACGUGUGCUCCGGUGCUCAAGGUGGUGUUGUGCACCAUCCAUAUCCUGUGAGAGUAGUGGCACUGUCAUUCCCUCACAUGGCGCAUCGCAUGGCAGGUGAGGUAGAGAAAUCCGUUUAUUGAAUCCUUAGGAGAAAUAGUUGCUGCCACGUCCUGUGCCCGACAGAGCAGUGCCUGCUGGCCACCCAGGCUUCUGUCACGCAGCAUGGCCUCCCAGUGUUGCAGUGUAGGGACAUUGAAGUUUUGAUGCUGGACCACCACUUGCAUACUGUCGUUUUGACGGCGUGGUGCUGUAUUGCAGUUUUGCAUCUGCACAUCCUGUGUCAAUUGUUGGCAUGGACACACUUGCUGUGUUUAUUUUUUCAGAAAUAGCAUAAACAUGCCAUACCACACCUUGAACUAUCAUUAUAUUUUUAGUUUGCCCACAACUGUCACCAUGUCUAGUUGUAGUGUUUUUCUUUUAAAGAGACUCCAUACGAAAGAUGCUUUCUGAUGGCAUCUUUACCUUCUCGUGUGAUCAUUCAGCAAGCACAAAGUACUGCAGCUUCUGCAAUGCUUUUGUCUAUUCCUUCCAGGCACACUACUCUCAAUCUAUCAUUAGCGCUGAAAUAGAAUACCACCUGUUUCUCAAAGCAGCUUCAAUAUAGAUUCUAAUCGGAAUAGGCAGACUUGUGGCAGUAUACAACUUUCUAUAGCCAUAAAAGGCAAGCUAGCAUAGUGGGGCAUCUCAAUGCUCGUAAAAGCAUUCAACUGCAUGUAUCUCCAAAUAACUAAGCUCAAGCAGACACUGUCAAAAUCUUUGCUUGUCACGGUGAGUUGGUGCGGGAACUUGAAGGUGUCUCUUUUCCUUCAUUUUUGUGUCUCUUAUGUUUUUGCUAAGGCUCUUGCCACAGCAAAGUUGCUCUUGUGGUAUUUUAGAAGGGUAAUUUACUAAUCACCUAGGCGAUGUCAUUUCCUACAUUUGGUUGCACCGUGUGCAUCAGUGCAAUAAAAUGGGUCAAACGGCUUAAUAUGAGAUGUUGCCAGGCCUUUUUGGCACGACACUUGUGGAUAACAUUUUGGUGUGGCUUGGGCGAGACCGAAAGAGAGAAAUUUACACAUACGAGCACAAAGGCCAGGCACUGUUCCCUUGUGGCCUGCACAACCACUAGAAUAGCAGCUAGUCUUAUCAAUUCAUACUGAGUAUCACAAAGUGGAACAUUGCAAGAACUGUAGCUUGGUUGAGACAAGGCACUUACAGCUGCAGCUGAAACAUGUGGUGUGAUCAACAUGUACAAGGUUACAAUACUCUUCACCCUUUUUGUAUUUAAGACUUUUUAAACUUUGCCCGCAAUUUGAUUACAGCUUGCCAGAGUUCCUUGGAAAAUCCUCCCAUGCACCUGCAAUGUACAUUGGCCCCCCCCCCCCUCCUCGAUGUGGCAUGCAAGAUGGCAGCAGCAGCUGUGGAACAGUUGAAGAGGCGAAGAAAGCUCCACAUUAUAAUAGGUUGUAUGUAAAUAAAACUGAUCGAACACAACCGAUUCGGCUUCCA